rnacentral:lncRNA from 1 species
CUGCCCCUGUGGCAUGUGGAGGUUCCCAGGCUAGGGGCUGAAUUGGAGCUGCAGCUGCUGGCCUAUGCCACAGCAAUGCCAGAUCCACGCUGCAUCUGUGACCUAUACCAAAGCUCAGGGCAACACUGGAUCCUUAACCCACUAGGCAAAGCCAGAGAUGGAACCCACAUCCUCAGGCAUACUAGUCGAGGUUGGUUACCAACAGAGUCACAACGGGAACUCCUAUCUGUCACUUCUGCCUUCCGGGUCUCUCAUCUAUAAAAGGGCUCAGAGUGGGACAACAAUAUGAAUAUUUUCCGUUUCUAUAAAUAUUAUGCCACAGGUUUCUAAACUUUUUCACACACUUUAGUUCAUGUGUUCCUUCUCAUAACCUUUUGAAGUGAUCAGGCCAGGGACUCUCAUUCCCAUUUCACAGAUGGGAGAACUGAAGCACAGGAGAUUGGGCUGUUCAGACUCAGAGAAUUUUCUGGAGGUUGAGCCUGCGCUAGAAACUAGUAUGGUGUUUUCCACUUCACGGUGUUCUCUUUGUGACCAGGUGCUUUCACAUCCAUCGGGGCCUUUCUUAGAAACCCAUCAGCAUUUCUAGUUAGCUGGUAAACCUACCAUGGAUAGAUUUUGUCAGGCUCGGAGGGGGGUAUGAAGAACACAGUUCCCCUGGCCCCCAGCACCCUAGACUGGGUCCUCCCAAUCGCAGCAUAGAUCCGUUUCUAAGUACAAACAACGUCCUUAUUCCCAGAGCUUGGGGUUGGUUUUACCAGGAGAGCACACGGGAGGGGGUUAGGGCCAAUUGCAGAGUUAGAGGGUGCCAACCCAAGACUGUCUUCACGUCUGUUGCCAACUGCAAAGCUCAAGUGGUUACCCAAACCCUGGUUUGGAAUUCUCUAGAAAGACUCACAGAACUCACUGUACACAGGUAUACGCGUAGUUACAGUAACUGGGAAAGGAUCCAGGUUAAGAUCAGCCAAAGAAAGAGACACAAAGUCCAGGAGUGUUUCGGAUGCGGGGCUUGCGGGGUCUUCUUUUCUCCCUGAGGAGUCAGACUCCUGUGACCUCAAUGUGUGACACCAACACAUGACCCUAUGCACAGAGCAUGGCCAACCAGGGAAGCUCAUCCCAGCCUCAGGGUUCAGGUUUUUGUUGUUGUUGUUGCUUUUUAUGGUCGCAUUGGCAGCAUAUGGAGGUUCCUAGGCAGGGGUCAAAUCGGAGUGACAGCUGCCAGCCUAUAUCACAGCUACAGCAACGCCAGAUCUGAGCCACAUCUGCGACCUACACCACAGCUCUCGGCAAUGCCAGAUCCUUAACCCACUGAGCGAGGCCAGGGAUCAAACUCGAGUCCUCGUGGAGGCUAGUUGGGUUUGUUACUGCUAAGCCACUACGGGGACUCCCUCAGUGUCCCAUUUUUCACGUCCAUUACAUGGAUGUGAUCCGAUGGUCAUGCGUGUGACUAAUCUCAGUGUUCAGGCCCCAAGAGAGACCCAAAGCCCAUCCUUCCGCCUUGAAUAAGCACCAUGUUCAGGCUCCGAGUCCUGUGGGGGGGUCUCUCUGGUGUGCCCGCCCCCCCACCCUAAAUCACCUGCUUAGACUACCCACUGCCCCCAGGAGAAGAAAGACCUCAGAAAUUACCUCCCAGAAGCGGAGGACAAAGGUCCAGACCUCUUUUGAUGGAGGUUAAUGCUUCACUACGUGGCCUGGCCGGCUGGCAGCUCUUUACUCCCCGUGUAGUUAAGAAGAGAGCUCAAGGGCUUCUUUGAAGAGAGAGUUGGCCUUGCCUGAAAGGCUCUUCUCUUUAGUUCUCUGAGGGAAAAUGAGCUCACCCCAUCUGGAAAACAGUCCUCAACCAAUCAGUAGCACAGACAGCGUACUCGGGUGGCCUCGCUUCUUUAAUCAGCAACUGAAUCACGCUGAGGAAAUUGCCCUUAAGGUGUCAUCCAAAUUGUAUGGAGACCCAAAUGUUUCAUUUAAAUGUAAAACAAAGAGGGUCUCUUCCAAUCAUGCUGCUCUCUCCUUAGCACUCAAAACUCAAAUCCCACUGAGAAGUUACCCUACAUCAGCUUCCCAGCCAGCAAAACUCCCAUCAGAGAAAGCCAACUAUUGUGAAAUGUUUCUCCAGUGCAUUUCAGACCCCAAGACUAUCAGUUGAUGGCCAAGAAGUUGCUUGGUGACGGGCACUAGAAUAGCAUCAUAGAGAUUAAUAAUCCCUCAAGAAAGCCAUCAGAAUGCUGUGGUUCCAUGAAGCAGGCUUGCUUAACUAUAAGACCAUAAAUCAAGGUAUGGUUUAUGCCUCAGGUCAUUAAGUGAAAGAUAAAAUGAGGCCUACAUCCAAGUUCAGUGAGAUAACGAUUCCUCGGACCGAGGAGAGGAACUUAAGGGAAAGAGGCUACUCCCAAGUGCAAGAGCCAUUGUAUGGAAACCUGAGGUGAUUCAACAUAGUUUAGCAUAUGUUACCAUCCUUCUACUGACCUGAAUAAGCACGAGGACAGUCCUAGUUUGACCUCAUCAGGUCAAAUACUCCUUACCCAAUACAAAGGAGGCCCUAGUGACAGAAGGCUGAUGUCUAUUUGAAGAAUGAGACAGAAGGUCAUUCUUUCCCACACUCCCCACUCUCCUUGGAUUAUAAAAAUGUAGCACAUCUAAUUCUGGGGGCAGAGCCUCCUCACCUGACCCCUUGUAUCCCUCCCAAGCGACCUAUCUUAAUAAAUCUACUUCUUGCCUAUCACUUUGUCCUUCGCCAGAUUCCUUCUGCUCUGAGACACAAAAAACCUGUGCCUCAGUAAGUCCAAACACCAAGUGAGUGAUUCUAAUAAAACAAAACUGUGGGUUCAAGUCCCAAUCUGGGUUUAGUCUGGGUUCAUGUCAGAGGUUUCAGUCUGACAGUCUAGAAGGGCAGGGAAACAUACACACAAAUAACCUGAGGAUGGAGGAUGACAGGCUGGUGCCACACAGACUUAUAGGGAAGGGCAAAGAGGAGUUACCCCUCAGAGCCUGGGACACAGGCCAUGCCUUGUCCUUUACGAGGCAGAGACGCCUUUAUCUGUGACCUGGCCCAGGAACACUGAUUUUCCUUUGAAACGGAAACAGAGCCCAGAACCUUGUCGGGCCCCCCUGGGUACAAAAUCACCUCGGUGCCCUCUGUUUCUUCUUUGUAGAAAAAGACUUAGUCUCCUAUGUCUUUCCUGAGUUCCAAAGAGCAGACUUAAGCAGUUACUAAUUAGGGAAGUGAGGAAUGCAGAAACGGAGGAAAGGCAGUCAAGAAACAAGAGUUCAGUGAUACAACAAGUCCUAGUUCCUCCUCAAGGGAUAUAGAUAACAAUCUGACACAUAUCUGAGCUGUUCUUCAGGAACUAAGCCCCCUACCCCACCCCACCCCCCGCCCCACCUAGGUAGAGGAUGGUGGCUGCAUGCUGGCCACAACACAUAGACCCCAGACUAGUUGGAACCAGAGGGUUGAUGAUUAAUAUUCCCAAAACAUCACCCUGUUACCUCACCAAGACCAACCAAUCAGAAGAAAGUUACCCCACCCCCUGCAUCCUUUACCCCAAAUGUUGCUUUUAAAAGCCCUUCCCUGAAAACCUUCUGGGAGUCUUUUGAGCCUGAGCUGCCUGUUCUUGCUUGAUGCCUGCAGUAAAUGCCAUACUUUCCUUCACCACAACCUGGGGUCUGUAAAUUGGCUUUCCUGUGCAGGAUGUGAGUGGACCCAAGUUUGGUUUGGUAACAAAAUCAGGCCUCUUUUUGGAAGUUCCAGCUGAAAGUUCCAAAAUGAACCACUUCUAUUCCAUGGGAUGUCUUUCCAUGUGGGUCAGGUUCUCUUAGUUAUGCCUUUCUUCUGGACUUCUCAGGGUGUCAACAACACCUGCGGUGGAGGGCUCAGUGCACAAAUGCAGCAGGGUUGAAUGAAGCCCUGAAUCUUUCUCAGUUGAGCUGCCUCACAGCUGUGAUAUUUGGGCAGCCAUGAGAGACAGGUUCAUGUUUCAGAAAAACAAGACCCAGCACUGAGCAGUUAGCAAAGAUGCUCCCUUCUCUGCUGGCUUAACGGAUGGUAAAAUUAAGAUCGAGGGUAAAGAAAGAAUUGUUUUACUUAUUAAAUUCCUCAUUGUAAUUGUAACCAAGCAGGGCUCUGUGGGGCUCCUGGGCAUACAAGACUUUCUGUGUCCUCCAUUUCUUGUUUCUAGGGAAUAAGUUUCAGCCCCCAGGACCUUCCCUGAGUUCCAAAGGGCAGAUUCAAACAGUUGCUAAUCAGGGAAGUGAGGGGAUGCAGAGAUCAGGGAGGAGCCCUCAAGAGACGGGAGUGCAGCCUUGGGUCAGGGUCCUGGUUCCUCUUCAGGGAACACCCGUAAGAGUGUCUUUGAGCCCUUCUAAAGACCUAAAACCCCCAACAAAUGAAAGUUGGAGCAUUCUAAUUUCCAGAAAGAAGGAAGACCACCAGGACCAGUCCUGGGGCCACUAAACACCAGCUUUGAGAAACAAUGCAAGCUUGCCUCUAACUUGAUCCUUACCUGCAGCCCUAUUUUCCACUCCCUAAACUACAAAACCACCUCCUAACCUCUCCCAAAGGAGGGCACAGUCUUUAAGGCAUUACCCUGCUGUGGCCUCCUUUGCCUAGAAAAGCAAUAAAGCAAUUUUUUUUUCUCAUUCAGUCCAAACUCUUUAUAUUCAGCACUGGUGGAAAGAGGCCGAGUUUUUGCAACAGAAUUUGCAUGGUAGACAACCAUUUUUAAAAAACCAAAAAAAUGGUUUCAUUUUGCUAGUAACAUAAAAUGUGGUUAGAGUGGGUGUAAGUCUGUGAGGAGCUACUGUUAGUAUUAAAAACGAGAGACCCAGAAGCCCUUGUCCAUAUGCAAAUUGUAGGAAGUCACUUAGCUGCUGCCUCAGUUUUUCCCAUCUGUGAAACGCAGCCCUGAGCUCUGGCCACCUACCCCACCCCCGCAUCAACCAGCCCCAUUGACUUUCUGAUAC